UUUUUUUUUUUGCUAUGAAUAUGAACAGGUAAAAAUAUAUUUAGUCUAGUACAUCUAUUUUUUGUAAAUUUACUGUAUUACUCAAAGCAAAGUUAUUGUCCAAGGCCUUUGCACAUACUUUUCUCUACCUGAACAUUUUUCCAGGUUUAUUGAGAUACAGUUGACAUUUAACAUUGUAUAAGUUUUGGAUGUACAAUGUAAUGAUUUGAUAAUGUAUAUAUUAUGAUAUUACUAUUUUAAGUAGUUAUCUGUUUAUCUUGUCUUAAAUAUGGAAUUUUUAAAAGCUAAUUGAACAGUUCUCGACCUCAGCUGCUCUCUCUUUUUUAUUUCCCUACCUUCAGAAACCUUCUUGUUUCUCCUUGGUAAAUUUUUAACUUUUAUCAUACCUGGAAAAAGCUCUGGAAUGAAAUACACUCAGUGACGGCCGUUCCGGAACACCACUCUCCUUGGUUGUCUGCCUGCUUAUCUGACCACUCUUUUUAGCUUUCUCUGUCAGUACUCUCUUUCACACUCCCUAAAUAUUCAUGCCCUGUAAACACCUCUCUUUGGCUCUUACCUCUUCUCAGUCUGUGACUCUCCUUGAAUAACUGAUCUACUCUCAUUGCUCCAGUGGGGUGUUAGUCUGGGUCCUCUGAGAAACAGAAGGCAAGAUACAAAGGAAAGAGAGAAGGGAGCCAGGGGAGGCUGAAAAAUCAUCAGACUGCGAUGCCAGUCUGAACCUAAGCAGGCACAGAAAGGGUGGGAAAGUCAAGUGAAAGCAUCCUGUGUAACUCUGAGUUCUUGCCAAGGUCACCAGAGAGUCUGCAAACCAGUCACUCGUCAGAGGAGCCCCUGCUUCCCUUCUGCACUCACCCAUUGCCUGAGUGCAGCCUGAGCGAAGGUUGGCCUUGGUGCAAAUACGGAAAGGAUUUCAAGUUGUAGCAGCUGGAGCCAUUGGUCAAUUACACUUCCUAUAGUCAGGGAUGUAAGGAAAGCAUUGCACAGCUGCCACAAACCACCACCUGACAAUUUGCAAACCCUAAUCUCCAGUCCUGGCUUCUAUUCUAAGCAAUAGAAUCAUAAUUUUGAUCACCACCAAUUAUCAUCAACAUAUGCCCCAUACAAACCUCAUUAACGUGCACAAUAAAUCAUUAUUGAGUCCCUAUUAUACACCAGACGUUGUACUCUUCUGAAGAAGCUAGUAGACUGGAGAAGGGAAUAAACACGUAAAAAAUAAAUCACAACAGAAACAGACUGACAGAUAUAGAGAACAGACUUGUGGUUGCCAAGGGGGAGGUGGGAGAAGGAGGGAAAGGUUGAGGGUUUGAGAUUAGCAGAGGCAGACUAUUAUUAUAUAUGGGAUGGAUAAAUGACAAGGUCAUACUUAUAGCGCAGGAAACUAUAUUCAAUAUCCUGUGAUAAACCAUAGUGGAAAAGAAUAUGUAAAAGAAUAACAGUCACUUUGCUCUACAGCAGAGAUCAACACAACAUUGUACAUCAAAUAUAUGUCAAUAAAACUUUUUAAAAAUUAAUAACUCACAAGUCACUUGUUUUUUCACUAAGUAUGGAUUGUAUACCUAUUACAUGCUAGGUAGGAACUGAGACAAGGUAUAGAGAAAUAACAGUAAAUAAAACAUGGUACGUGCCCUAAGGAGUUCACAGUCCAGUUGUAUAAGUCAAAGAAACAACCGCAUAAUUAUCAUAGAAUGCAGUAGGUGAACUAGGAAAGGAAUCAUCUAUUUAUGUCUUGAAGUAUAAAUAGGAGGUAUCUACACAGAUAAGAAGAAGGGCAGGGUUUCCUAGCUUCUCAAUGACAGAAGCAAAGAUGCAUUAAAAAGUAGCAGCAUGGUGAGGAGUUGCAUGGCGUAACUGUUGUCAUUGGCUACGUCAAUAAUUUAAGUGAAAAAUAAUAAGUGCCUGAGUUGAAUGCUUGCCAAAUAAAUGAAAGACUGUGUAGGUAGAGAGCAGGUAUGGGAAAGAUGUUUGAGAUAAAUUGUGAGGAUUUGGCAACAGACUGGAUUCAGGAUGGCAGAAAAGAAGGGCUUUCUUAACCCCAGCAUGUCUAACACCAUUCUCACCUCCUGUAUUUCAUGUCUCCCAGCUACCACCACUCACAAAGCUACUGUUGCUGGGAACCUCAGUGAGGUCCUAACUCAGAGCCUGGCAAGCAUACGAUAAUAUGCAUAAUGAGCAAACUACUUAUAUCUGUGAAGCCGAAACAUGAAUUGGCAUCAUUGCCUAUAUCACCAGAGUUCUUAGCUGCAACCACAGAUCCAUUCCAGCUAGCUUAUGCAGAAAAAGGAUUUAUUAAAGGGUAUCAGAUAGCUUAAAAAAAAAAAAAAGAGCUGUAAAAUGACUGGAGGCUAAAUUUCAGGAGUAAUGGUCAUGACCAAACCACAGAACUGAUCCGAGGAGGAAACAGCCACCACUUCCUCCAAUGCUAAGUAUUAAACCUUGGAACCCGGCUGAAAUGAGUGCUUCAGCUCACACCAGGGCCACUUCUGUGUCAGGUAUUCUGCCUGGCCAACAGUGCUGCUGCCACCACUGUCAAAACUGGGCACCACCUGCAGCAGCAGCAACUACAGUCACACAAAGAGCCUGUUUCCUUUGUUUUCCGGCAUCAGUGGGUGUAGCUUGUGAGGGUAUAUCUUGUGGAGCCUAAGCCACUUGCUUGAGUUUCAGUUGCAAGGGAGACUGAGACAUUUGAAUUUUAUCUUCAAAGUCAGAACUGAAGAAGUGGGGCCCUUGAUGUGGGAAAUUCCAAAUAUAGAAAGCAUUUAAGCUAUGAUGGGCAGCCCUACACAUGAUGUGUAUAGCUUCACUUAUCUUGUCAAUGCCUAUUCAGAAAAGCACCAACAGAAUAUCCAAACUUAGAAAGGAAUAACACAAAAAAUUGGGUUGUGAUGAUCAUUGCACAACUAUAAGUGUAAUAAAAUUCAUUGAAUUAAAAAAAAAGGAACAGUUCAGACUUCAGAAGCUAAGGUCUGAGACCCUUUCCUAUAGCAAACAAAAGCUAUCACAAGUUUUGAUUGCAACUAGGAUGUGACAUUGUUUUAAAUAAAGGGUUAGGGAGUUUAUCAUGGCACAGCGGAAACGAAUCCAAUUAGUAUCCAUGAGGACGCAGGUUCAAUCCCUGGCCUUGCUCAGUGGGUUAAGGAUCCAGCGUUACCGUGAGCUGUGGUGUAGGACACAGACGAAGCUUCGAGCUGGCCCACCUGGUGUUGCUGUGGGUGUGGUACAGGCUGGCAGCUGCAGCUCCAAUUCAACCCCUAGCCUGGGACCCUCCAUAUG
rnacentral:lncRNA from 1 species